UUAAGCGACUAAGCGUACACGGUGGAUGCCCUGGCAGUCAGAGGCGAUGAAGGACGUGCUAAUCUGCGAAAAGCGUCGGUAAGGUGAUAUGAACCGUUACAGCCGGCGAUGUCCGAAUGGGGAAACCCAGUGCAAUUCGUUGCACUAUCGUUAACUGAAUACAUAGGUUAACGAGGCGAACCGGGGGAACUGAAACAUCUAAGUACCCCGAGGAAAAGAAAUCAACCGAGAUUCCCCCAGUAGCGGCGAGCGAACGGGGAGCAGCCCGGAGUCUGAAUCAGCUUGUGUGUUAGUGGAAGCGUCUGGAAAGUCGCAGGGUACAGGGUGAUACUCCCGUACACUAAAACACACAGGUUGUGAACUCGAAGAGUAGGGCGGGACACGUGGUAUCCUGUCUGAAUAUGGGGGGACCAUCCUCCAAGGCUAAAUACUCCUGACUGACCGAUAGUGAACCAGUACCGUGAGGGAAAGGCGAAAAGAACCCCGGCGAGGGGAGUGAAAAAGAACCUGAAACCGUGUACGUACAAGCAGUAGGAGCCCACUUGUUGGGUGACUGCGUACCUUUUGUAUAAUGGGUCAGCGACUUAUAUUCUGUAGCAAGGUUAACCGUAUAGGGGAGCCGCAGGGAAACCGAGUCUUAACUGGGCGUUAAGUUGCAGGGUAUAGACCCGAAACCCGGUGAUCUAGCCAUGGGCAGGUUGAAGGUUGGGUAACACUAACUGGAGGACCGAACCGACUAAUGUUGAAAAAUUAGCGGAUGACUUGUGGCUGGGGGUGAAAGGCCAAUCAAACCGGGAGAUAGCUGGUUCUCCCCGAAAGCUAUUUAGGUAGCGCCUCGUGAACUCAUCUUCGGGGGUAGAGCACUGUUUCGGCUAGGGGGUCAUCCCGACUUACCAACCCGAUGCAAACUACGAAUACCGAAGAAUGUUAUCACGGGAGACACACGGCGGGUGCUAACGUCCGUCGUGAAGAGGGAAACAACCCAGACCGCCAGCUAAGGUCCCAAAGUCAUGGUUAAGUGGGAAACGAUGUGGGAAGGCCCAGACAGCCAGGAUGUUGGCUUAGAAGCAGCCAUCAUUUAAAGAAAGCGUAAUAGCUCACUGGUCGAGUCGGCCUGCGCGGAAGAUGUAACGGGGCUAAACCAUGCACCGAAGCUGCGGCAGCGACACUAUGUGUUGUUGGGUAGGGGAGCGUUCUGUAAGCCGUUGAAGGUGGCCUGUGAGGGUUGCUGGAGGUAUCAGAAGUGCGAAUGCUGACAUAAGUAACGAUAAUGCGGGUGAAAAACCCGCACGCCGGAAGACCAAGGGUUCCUGUCCAACGUUAAUCGGGGCAGGGUGAGUCGACCCCUAAGGCGAGGCCGAAAGGCGUAGUCGAUGGGAAACAGGUUAAUAUUCCUGUACUCGGUGUUACUGCGAAGGGGGGACGGAGAAGGCUAUGUUGGCCGGGCGACGGUUGUCCCGGUUUAAGCAUGUAGGCGGAUGUUCCAGGUAAAUCCGGAACGUUACUAACGCUGAGGUGUGAUGACGAGGCACUACGGUGCUGAAGUGACAAAUGCCCUGCUUCCAGGAAAAGCCUCUAAGCAUCAGGUAACAUCAAAUCGUACCCCAAACCGACACAGGUGGUCAGGUAGAGAAUACCAAGGCGCUUGAGAGAACUCGGGUGAAGGAACUAGGCAAAAUGGUGCCGUAACUUCGGGAGAAGGCACGCUGAUGGUAGGUGAAGCGACUUGCUCGUGGAGCUGAAAUCAGUCGAAGAUACCAGCUGGCUGCAACUGUUUAUUAAAAACACAGCACUGUGCAAACACGAAAGUGGACGUAUACGGUGUGACGCCUGCCCGGUGCCGGAAGGUUAAUUGAUGGGGUUAUCCUCGCGGAGAAGCUCUUGAUCGAAGCCCCGGUAAACGGCGGCCGUAACUAUAACGGUCCUAAGGUAGCGAAAUUCCUUGUCGGGUAAGUUCCGACCUGCACGAAUGGCGUAAUGAUGGCCAGGCUGUCUCCACCCGAGACUCAGUGAAAUUGAACUCGCUGUGAAGAUGCAGUGUACCCGCGGCAAGACGGAAAGACCCCGUGAACCUUUACUAUAGCUUGACACUGAACACUGGUCCUUGAUGUGUAGGAUAGGUGGGAGGCUUUGAAGUGUGGACGCCAGUCUGCAUGGAGCCAUCCUUGAAAUACCACCCUUUAAUGGCUGGUGUUCUAACGUGGGCCCGUAAUCCGGGUUGCGGACAGUGUCUGGUGGGUAGUUUGACUGGGGCGGUCUCCUCCUAAAGAGUAACGGAGGAGCACGAAGGUCAGCUAAUCCUGGUCGGACAUCAGGAGGUUAGUGCAAUGGCAUAAGCUGGCUUGACUGCGAGCGUGACGGCGCGAGCAGGUGCGAAAGCAGGUCAUAGUGAUCCGGUGGUUCUGAAUGGAAGGGCCAUCGCUCAACGGAUAAAAGGUACUCCGGGGAUAACAGGCUGAUACCGCCCAAGAGUUCAUAUCGACGGCGGUGUUUGGCACCUCGAUGUCGGCUCAUCACAUCCUGGGGCUGAAGUAGGUCCCAAGGGUAUGGCUGUUCGCCAUUUAAAGUGGUACGCGAGCUGGGUUUAGAACGUCGUGAGACAGUUCGGUCCCUAUCUGCCGUGGGCGCUGGAGAAUUGAGGGGGGCUGCUCCUAGUACGAGAGGACCGGAGUGGACGCAUCACUGGUGUUCGGGUUGUCAUGCCAAUGGCAUUGCCCGGUAGCUAAAUGCGGAAGAGAUAAGUGCUGAAAGCAUCUAAGCACGAAACUUGCCCCGAGAUGAGUUCUCCCUGACCCUUUAAGGGUCCUGAAGGAACGUUGAAGACGACGACGUUGAUAGGCCGGGUGUGUAAGCGCAGCGAUGCGUUGAGCUAACCGGUACUAAUGAACCGUGAGGCUUAACCUU
rnacentral:rRNA from 1 species